UCCCAUAAAUAAAUGGGCAAAAAGCAUGACUAUCUUAGAAAAGAGGAACUUAGCCACAAAUGGCUAAGAAGCAUAUGAAAAAAAACUUUAACCUCAAUAGUAUCUGAAAAAAUACAAAUAAUAGAGUAAUGAGGUUACUCAUUACUCAAAUCAGAUUUCAAAGCCUAUAAAAGAUGUGUAAUGCUGGUGAGGGGGUAGGUCAUCUAUACUCUUGCUAGGAGUAAAAACUGGUUCAGCUUUUAACAAUAUUUAGCAAAAAAGCUUUAAGAUGUUUAUAUUGCAGUAUUUCCCUUUUUAGUAAUCUAUGCAAAGAAAAUGAUAUAAAAUUCUCACUAAGGUUUAUACUCAAAGACGUUUGGCACAGCCUUAUUUUUAACAAGGAAAAAUUGUAAACAGUUUAAAUGCCCAGGGAUAUAGUUAGGUAAAUUAUGCUUCACUCAAAUGGUGGAACAUAAUGCAGUCAUUAAUAAUAACUAUAAAUAAAUUUAAUGCCAUAUGAAAAUGCUUCUGAUAUGUUAGAUGAGAAAAGAUGGCUAUAAAAGUAUAUAUGCAAAAUAACUUCAAAUAUGUUAAAAUGAAUGAAAAAAGACUGGAAGGAAAUAUGAACAGAAUGUGGUUGCACAAGGAGGAAAGUUAUGGGCAUUUUUUUCCCAUUGCUUUUUUAUUUACUGCUAGUAACCAAAGAACAUUAUCUUAUUUUAAAUUAGGGAAGAGGGACCUUAAAAAAAUUCAUAACUUUUCCUCAGCUAUCUCACAUCUAGAAAUCUAUCCUGAGGAAAUAAUCCUAAAUAUAGACUCAGAUUUGUGCAAAAGGAGUACAAAUUUGUAGUUGUUUUUAAUAGCAAGCUAUUUGGAGCAUGCAAGUUAUCCAAAAUAGGUGAAUCAUUAAGAUAUAGUAUAUUUCUAGAAUAGAAUAUUGUAUAGUUCUUAAAGUUAUUUUUCUGAAGAGAUUUUCAAGUGAGAAAAUUAUACAGUUAAGUAAAAAAGGAUGUCAUAUAUAAAGUAUGAUCUCAACUAUAUGCAGAAUAAUAUAGGGAUAGAAAAGAAUAGAAUGAAGUGUGUCAAAAUGUUGGUGAUUUUUAUUUUCUUUUUAAAAUGAUUUUACAUUUUCUAAAUAUUUUCAAUAUGUGUCCUCAAUUACUUUUACAAUCAGGAAAACAUAGGAGUUGGAAUUUUUAAUAAGCAAGUUUUAAAAAUAUUUCUCCUGAAUGAAAUUUGUUAGCCUUAAUUUAGUUACUUAAAUAAUAAUAUAUAUUUCUUAUAACUUAAGUAAUAACUUGAAAAGUAGUGACUUGGAAAUAACAACAGCUUUUAAGUUUCAUGUCAGACUUUUACCAGUGGACAGAACUCUUUUCUUUUAACCUACAUUAAGGAGGUUUUCUUGUAGAAGCAUGUAAUUUCACUAAUAACAAAUAACCUAUGGUCUUUUAGGAUUUUGAUACCUGAGUCACUGUUCAAAAACAUACUCAAACAAAUGUAGAAAACCAAAUCAAGAAGGCUAGCAAAUGUGCCUGAUGGUAUGGUUUCACGCUUCUCACCAAAUCAAAGUUCCUGAGUGCCAUGGAUAACUUUUUAAAAUGAGUCUUAUUUUGCAGAAAAGUGCAGUCUCAUGGGGGAACGUAUAGAAGGUGACACAUGGAGAUACUAAUGAUGGUGCCGACUGCAGUGUCAAACUGAAUGAGAAAAAAGCAGGAAAAAGGUUCGUUCAUUUCAAAUUCACAUCUGCCUUGUCUGGGUUGCAGUUUCAGGGAAAAUGUGGAAGCGGUGGCCAUUAAUUCCUUGAGGCCAGAGAACAUUACCUGACAGAUUGCUGCUCAGAUAUCUCUCCUUUCAUCCAUGUUGAUGUAUUUGAAGAAAAAAAUCCCUUGAGUCUGGUCACCUGAGCUUUCUACACUGCUGGAAUAUUCCUUUGAAUAGCAGGGCAGGAAAUCUUCCUAUAAAGUAUUACAGUAAGUGAAGUUUGCCGUAAUGAAGGGGCCUGUCAUGCUCUUUUGACAUAUCCCCUUUCAUUCUUUUACCCUACAGUGUGAUAAAAGAUAAUUAAAAGAGAAAAAAAAGUAAAAUCAUGACUCUCAUACAGAUAUAAAAUGAACAUGUGUUAAAGAUUUUGUUUAACUGGUUCAAUGAGAAAACCAGGCAGAUGUUAUAAGUGGUCAAAAGAGAAUCUGUAAAACAGACGGAUUUGUAGAUCAGUAGUAUUGAAACAAACACCCAAAUGAAGGCAAAGCUGGUUUUUCCAGAGUUGGGGAGGGAAGUCCAAUAAAUCUCUAUCUGACAGGACAGAAUUUGCAUUUUUAUCAGUUACCUACAUUUUACAGAGUUGUAAAAAUAGCUCAAAGACAAUGAAAGACUAAAAUCAGAUAACCUAAAGUGGUAUCUUGUAGACAAUGCAUAGUUUUCCAUUGAAGGUCAAAAUUUCUUCUACGUUUUUUCUUCACUUCUUCAAAUUUAUUCAUAAUAUAGAGCAGAGUACCAAGUAAGUAUGGCAAGUAUCAUCUAGAGUGCAGUCUUUGAUCAAUUGACAAAUGGCUGCCUGGUGCCUUCUGUUGAGGUUUUUAGGUUCAACAGGAAAGAGUGCCACAUAGAUUAGCAAUGUCUGUCAAGGGCAAUGGAGUAGUAAGUAGUGGCAUUUGUGGCAGGUUUUUGCCACUCUGUUAUAGAAGAAUGUCAUCUGUAAACUAAUUUACCCCAGAAUAUUGUAGAUUCAUUGUGUUCUUCUUCCCAGAGCAUUUACAUUUAAAAAGAAGAAAGAUACUAUCAAGGAAAAUAUUUAAUUCCUUUUUUCUUUUACAUAUAUGAAAUUGCAUACUUUGGGAAAGUUUAAACUGUAAAAAAUUCAAGCAUUACAGAGUGGAACCCAGUGAAAAGUUUCCCACUCCUGCUUACUGGUUCCUCUGUUUCUCUAAACAAAGCAAUUGCUGGUUACCAGUUUCUUGUGUAUCCUUCAAGAGAUAUUACAUACAAAGGUUGCACACAAAAUCCAUUGCAUGUUAGUAGAAAUUAUUUUGUUUAGAAUUAUAUUGUUUGAUUCUUUCCAGUCUUUGUAUAGAUUUUAACUCUUCUCAAUAUUCUGCUUGACAAGUUUUUCCAUGUUGAUUUAAUUGUAAGUAAUGAGGAUGGUCCCAUAAUUGUUUUCAAGGCCUUCAACUGUUAAGUGGACUCCCUAUGUAUGAGACUGUGAAAGACAAAUUUCUCGUGCACCUUAAUUUUUUCUUAAAGUAUUUUUUUAAAUUAUGAAAUAUUGUAAGUAUAUAGAAGUUCAGAAAAUAGUGUAAUAGACAUUUAUGUACCUACCACAGAUUACAGAUUUAGAAAUUUUAGCAGAUCUCUCUUAUAAAUAAGUAAAUAGGGGCCGACCCAGUUGUGCAGUAGUUAAGUUCGCACAUUCU